rnacentral:rRNA from 1 species
GAUCAUUAUGGGAUCGCGAUAGUCGCAUCUACACCCUGUGCACCCCUGACGCUCCCAGGAGCGUACGAUAAGCAUACAACCCUUGUAGUCUGUAGGAACACUUAUUGUCGAUUGAAUACAACUUUCAACAACGGAUCUCUUGGCUCUCGCAUCGAUGAAGAACGCAGCGAAAUGCGAUAAGUAAUGUGAAUUGCAGAUUGUUAGUGAAUCAUCGAGUCUUUGAACGCAUCUUGCACCCUUUGGGAUUCCGAAGGGUACGCCUGUUUGAGUGUCUUUAACAACACCAACCCCCUGGCCCUCGUGGCUUGGGGAGCUUGGACUUGAGCGCUGCCGAGGAGGUGACGACCAGACUCGGCUCGCUUUAAAACCGUUAAGACAGUCGGAUGCAGACCCGGUCGAGGUUGGUGUGGUAGAACCCUACGGGUUGUAGAUCGCCUCCCUCGAACGGUAGUCGAAUCCAGGCUCGUCUUUGAACCGUCUUUGAAUUCGGACCUCAAAUCAGGUGGGACCACCCGCUGAACUUAAGCAUAUCAAUAAGCGGAGGAAAAGAAACUAACAAGGAUUCCCCUAGUAACGGCGAGUGAAGAGGGAAGAGCUCAAAUUUUGAAUCGGGCGAUCCACGAUCGCGAUCGUUCCGAAUUGUAAUCUGGAGAAGCGUCGUCCGCGCCGGUCCACAUACAAGUCUCUUGGAAUAGAGUAUCGAAGAGGGUGACAAUCCCGUCCCUGAUGUGGCGCCCCGGUCGUUCCAGGACCCGCUUUCCACGAGUCGAGUUGUUUGGGAAUGCAGCUCCAAUCGGGUGGUAAACUCCAUCUAAAGCUAAAUACAGGCGAGAGACCGAUAGCGAACAAGUACCGUGAGGGAAAGAUGAAAAGCACUUUGGAAAGAGAGUGAAACAGUACGUGAAAUUGUUGAAAGGGAAACGCUUGGAGUCAGUCUCGUCCUUUCGAACCGCCUCUGUGGAGAGAUCCUCAAAGGUUUUUCGAUCGGUCGGGUCAGCGUCCAUCUCGANCUGGCCGGAGACGCUCUUUGGGGAAUCGUGGCACCGUGCAGGUGUGUUAUAGACCCUCAGGGCUA